UUUAAGUGCAACCAUAAAUUUCUAUGCCCAACUUUGAUCGUCUAUCUUAUUUAAAAAAAAUUAAACUUAGCAUUUUUGUUGUUAUGAGAUGAUAAAAUAUGAAUAGUAUUUUAUACGUGACUUAAGUUUUAAAUUUUUUUAAAAAAAAUUUAAAUAAGACAGGCGGUCGAAACUGUGCACGAAAAAUUAUGGCUGCACAUUAA
rfam:Oryza rufipogon genomic scaffold, chr06